AUUGAACGCUGGCGGCAUGCCUUACACAUGCAAGUCGAACGGCAGCACGGGAGCAAUCCUGGUGGCGAGUGGCGAACGGGUGAGUAAUAUAUCGGAACGUGCCCAGUCGUGGGGGAUAACGUAGCGAAAGCUACGCUAAUACCGCAUACGAUCUACGGAUGAAAGCGGGGGAUCGCAAGACCUCGCGCGAUUGGAGCGGCCGAUAUCAGAUUAGCUAGUUGGUGGGGUAAAAGCUCACCAAGGCGACGAUCUGUAGCUGGUCUGAGAGGACGACCAGCCACACUGGAACUGAGACACGGUCCAGACUCCUACGGGAGGCAGCAGUGGGGAAUUUUGGACAAUGGGCGCAAGCCUGAUCCAGCAAUGCCGCGUGCAGGAUGAAGGCCUUCGGGUUGUAAACUGCUUUUGUACGGAACGAAACGGUGAGCUCUAAUAAAGCUUGCUAAUGACGGUACCGUAAGAAUAAGCACCGGCUAACU
rnacentral:rRNA from 1 species